rnacentral:rRNA from 1 species
AGCGAACGCCGGCGGCAGGCCUAACACAUGCAAGUCGAACGAACUCUUCGGAGUUAGUGGCGGACGGGUGAGUAACACGUGGGAACGUGCCUUUAGGUUCGGAAUAACUCAGGGAAACUUGUGCUAAUACCGAAUGUGCCCUUCGGGGGAAAGAUUUAUCGCCUUUAGAGCGGCCCGCGUCUGAUUAGCUAGUUGGUGAGGUAAAGGCUCACCAAGGCGACGAUCAGUAGCUGGUCUGAGGGGAUGAUCAGCCACAUUGGGACUGAGACACGGCCCAAACUCCUACGGGAGGCAGCAGUGGGGAAUCUUGCGCAAUGGGCGAAAGCCUGACGCAGCCAUGCCGCGUGAAUGAUGAAGGUCUUAGGAUUGUAAAAUUCUUUCACCGGGGACGAUAAUGACGGUACCCGGAGAAGAAGCCCCGGCUAACUUCGU